AGGUUGAACGCUGGCGGCAUGCCUAACACAUGCAAGUCGAGCGGCAGCGCGGGGGCAACCCUGGCGGCGAGCGGCGGACGGGUGAGUAAGGCAUCGGAAUCUACCCCAAAGUGAGGGAUAAGCACCAGAAAUGGUGUCUAAUACCGCAUGUGCUCUUAGGAGUAAAGCUCCGGCGCUUUGGGAAGAGCCUGUGUAUGAUUAGCUUGUUGGUAAGGUAAAAGCUUACCAAGGCGACGAUCAUUAGCUGGUCUGAGAGGAUGAUCAGCCAGACUGGGACUGAGAACGGCCCAGACUCCUACGGGAGGCAGC
rnacentral:rRNA from 1 species